AGAGUUUGAUCAUGGCUCAGGACGAACGCUGGCGGCGUGCUUAACACAUGCAAGUCGAACGGAAAGGCCCUUCGGGGUGCUCGAGUGGCGAACGGGUGAGUAACACGUGGGUGAUCUGCCCUGCACUUUGGGAUAAGCCUGGGAAACUGGGUCUAAUACCGAAUAGGACUGCGCUCUUCAUGGGGUGUGGUGGAAAGCUUUUGCGGUGUGGGAUGGGCCCGCGGCCUAUCAGCUUGUUGGUGGGGUAAUGGCCUACCAAGGCGACGACGGGUAGCCGGCCUGAGAGGGUGACCGGCCACACUGGGACUGAGAUACGGCCCAGACUCCUACGGGAGGCAGCAGUGGGGAAUAUUGCACAAUGGGCGCAAGCCUGAUGCAGCGACGCCGCGUGAGGGAUGACGGCCUUCGGGUUGUAAACCUCUUUCAGCACAGACGAAGCGCGAGUGACGGUAUGUGCAGAAGAAGGACCGGCCAACUACGUGCCAGCAGCCGCGGUAAUACGUAGGGUCCGAGCGUUGUCCGGAAUUACUGGGCGUAAAGAGCUCGUAGGUGGUUUGUCGCGUUGUUCGUGAAAACUCACAGCUUAACUGUGGGCGUGCGGGCGAUACGGGCAGACUGGAGUACUGCAGGGGAGACUGGAAUUCCUGGUGUAGCGGUGGAAUGCGCAGAUAUCAGGAGGAACACCGGUGGCGAAGGCGGGUCUCUGGGCAGUAACUGACGCUGAGGAGCGAAAGCGUGGGGAGCGAACAGGAUUAGAUACCCCGGUAGUCC
rnacentral:rRNA from 1 species